AGUUCAGAUUGCCCUCUGGG
rnacentral:miRNA from 1 species